CCUACGGGAGGCAGCAGUAGGGAAUUUUCGUCAAUGUGCGCAAGCCUGAACGAGCGAUGCCGCGUGAGUGAAGAAGGCCUUCGGGUCGUAAAGCUCUGUUGCGGGGGAAAAAAGGCAGCAUCAGGAAAUGGGUGCUGACUGAUGGUGCCCCGCCAGAAAGUCACGGCUAACUACGGGCCAGCAGCCGCGGUAAUACGUAGGUGGCGAGCGUUAUCCGGAAGGAUUGGGCGUAAAGGGUGCGCAGGCGGUCCUGCAAGUCUGGGGUGAAACGCAUGAGCUCAACUCAUGCAUGGCUUUGGAAACUGGAGGGCUGGAGAGCAGGAGAGGGCGGUGGAACUCCAUGUGUAGCGGUAAAAUGCGUAGAUAUAUGGAAGAACACCAGUGGCGAAGGCGGCCGCCUGGCCUGUUGCUGACGCUGAGGCACGAAAGCGUGGGGAGCAAAUAGGAUUAGAUACCCCAGUAGUC
rnacentral:rRNA from 1 species